rnacentral:ncRNA from 1 species
UUGGUCCUAAACUUGCCAUUGUUUUUAAUAAAAAUUACACAUGCAAGCUUCAACAUCCCAGUGAAAAUGCCCACGAACUCUUAAACAGCCUACAGGAGCAGGCAUCAGGAACACCAAAUGUUUGCCUAAAACGCCUUGCUAUGCCACACCCACAAGGGCCCUCAGCAGUGAACGAUAUUAAGAAAUAAGCGAAAGCUUGACUUAGUUAUUAUUAAAUAUGGUCGGUAAAUUUCGUGCCAGCCACCGCGGUUAUACGAAAGACCAAAAACAAUAGCCUACGGCGUAAAGAGUGACAAAAAGAACAGCAAAGUUUAAAGAAAAACUGCAACAAAGUUGUAAAACACUACUGCUUGCAGGAACCACAACAAUAAAAUGUCUUUAACCAUUCACCUCACGAAAGCUAAGAAACAAACUGGGAUUAGAUACCCCACUAUGCUUAGCUGUAAACAAAGACAGUACAAUUACAAUACUGUCCGCCAGAGAACUACAAGCAAAAACUCAAAACUCUAAGGACUUGGCGGUGCUCCAUAUCACCCUAGAGGAGCCUGUCCUAUAAUCGAUACUCCCCGAUCUACCUCACCGCUUUUUGAAAAUCAGCCUAUAUACCGCCGUCGUCAGCCUACCUUAUGAAAGAAACAAAGUAAGCAAAAUAGUUACUAACUAGCACGUCAGGUCAAGGUGUAGCUUAUAAAACGGAAGAGAUGGGCUACACUCUCUCAUUUAGAGAACACGAACAGCAUCAAUGAAAUACUGCUCAAAGGUGGAUUUAGUAGUAAGACAGACAAGAGAGUCCGUCUAAAACCAGCCCUGGAGCGCGCACACACCGCCCGUCACCCUCAUCA